AGAGUUUGAUCAUGGCUCAGAACGAACGCUGGCGGCGUGGAUUAGGCAUGCAAGUCGAACGUGAAAGGGGCUUCGGCCCUGAGUAAAGUGGCAAACGGGUGAGUAACGCGUGGAGAACCUGCCCAGAAGUGGGGGAUAACACUCCCAACGGGGUGCUAAUACCGCAUGUGACUGCGUGAGCGCAUGUUUGUGCAGUUAAAGGUGGCCUCUAUUUAUAAGCUACCGCUUCUGGAUGGCUCUGCGUCCCAUUAGCUUGUUGGCGAGGUAACGGCUCACCAAGGCUCCGAUGGGUAGCUGGUCUGAGAGGAUGGUCAGCCACACUGGGACUGAGAUACGGCCCAGACUCCUACGGGAGGCAGCAGUCGAGAGGCUUCGGCAAUGGGGGAAACCCUGACCGAGCGACGCCGCGUGGGCGAUGAAGGCCUUCGGGUUGUAAAGCCCUUUCAGAUGGGAAGAAAGGUCGGUGGGUGAAUAAUCCAUCGGCUGUGACGGUACCAUCAGAAGAAGCUCCGGCUAACUCCGUGCCAGCAGCCGCGGUAAUACGGGGGGAGCAAGCGUUGUUCGGAUUCAUUGGGCGUAAAGGGCGCGUAGGCGGCUAGGCAAGUCUGACGUGAAAUGUACCGGUUCAACCGGGGCACCGUGUCGGAAACUUCCUGGCUUGAGGUCGAGGGAGGAGAGUGGAAUUCCUGGUGUAGCGGUGAAAUGCGUAGAUAUCAGGAGGAACACCCGUGGCGAAGGCGGCUCACUGGUCCGGUACUGACGCUGAGGUGCGAAAGCGUGGGGAGCAAACAGGAUUAGAUACCCUAGUAGUCC
rnacentral:rRNA from 1 species